UAGGGAAUCUUCGGCAAUGGACGAAAGUCUGACCGAGCAACGCCGCGUGAGUGAAGAAGGUUUUCGGAUCGUAAAACUCUGUUGUUAGAGAAGAACAAGGACGUUAGUAACUGAACGUCCCCUGACGGUAUCUAACCAGAAAGCCACGGCUAACUACGUGCCAGCAGCCGCGGUAAUACGUAGGUGGCAAGCGUUGUCCGGAUUUAUUGGGCGUAAAGCGAGCGCAGGCGGUUUCUUAAGUCUGAUGUGAAAGCCCCCGGCUCAACCGGGGAGGGUCAUUGGGAACUGGGAGACUUGAGUGCAGAAGAGGGGAGUGGAAUUCCAUGUGUGGCGGUGAAAUGCGUAGAUAUAUGGGGGAACACCAGUGGCGAGGGCGGCUCUCUGGUCUGUAACUGACGCUGAGGCUCGAAAGCGUGGGGAGCAAACAGG
rnacentral:rRNA from 1 species